rnacentral:lncRNA from 1 species
GUUUUUUUUUAUUUAUUAUUGUUUCAGUUUAAAAAUUUUCAUUCUUGUUAAGUUAAUAUCCAUAGAUUAUUUUUAACGUUAGAACAAAUGGACAUGGUGAAGGUUAAUCCCACAGUAGAGUCUUUUCUAUUUAUCGUUGCUUAGACACUAAUUCAUGAAUUAUACUUUGAACUUUGCACAUCACACCAACAUGGUUUGUGGGGAGUGAGAUUGAAACACUUACUUUCAGUCUAAGUUUAUUUUUAAUUUUUGUUUUAAGUAAAGUUAGUUAUUAUUGUGAAUAAAGUAAUAAUUGUCUCACCCGAGGUUUUGCCUAGUAACCGGGCCAGU